CCAUUGUGUUUUUGAGGUUAUGGCAGUGGUAUAUUGAAAGUUGCCUAUGAGAACUGAAUGGGGGAAUGAGCACAAACAUUUUUGGUGAUAAAACAAUGGCGUUAGGUAGAUGUAAGUGGUAAGAAAUGGAAAGCUUUAAUUGUUGUUAGCAGAGAUUUAUAGUCCAGGAAGAAAAACCUCAAAAGCCCAGUGUAAAA